rnacentral:rRNA from 1 species
AUUGAACGCUGGCGGCAGGCCUAACACAUGCAAGUCGAGCGGAUGAGGGAAGCUUGCUUCCUGAUUUAGCGGCGGACGGGUGAGUAAUGCCUAGGAAUCUGCCUAUUAGUGGGGGAUAACGUUCCGAAAGGAACGCUAAUACCGCAUACGUCCUACGGGAGAAAGUGGGGGAUCUUCGGACCUCACGCUAAUAGAUGAGCCUAGGUCGGAUUAGCUAGUUGGUGGGGUAACGGCUCACCAAGGCGACGAUCCGUAGCUGGUCUGAGAGGAUGAUCAGCCACACUGGAACUGAGACACGGUCCAGACUCCUACGGGAGGCAGCAGUGGGGAAUAUUGGACAAUGGGCGAAAGCCUGAUCCAGCCAUGCCGCGUGUGUGAAGAAGGUCUUCGGAUUGUAAAGCACUUUAAGUUGGGAGGAAGAGUUGUAAGCUAAUAUCUUGCAGCUUUGACGUUACCAACAGAAUAAGCACCGGCUAACUCUGUGCCAGCAGCCGCAGUAAUAC